GUCGGCUGUGUGCCUCCGGAAGGCCCGCCCUGCUCGUCCAAUCACCGAGAGGGAGGGCACGUUGAGGGUGAUGCCAGGAAUCAAGAUGGCCGCCUGGGACCGCUCUCAGCCACUUCGGCCUCUACCUGAAGAGCCACGCCCCGUCUGCUACACCCAACCGGUUGGUUCCUCAUCACAGAGAGGAAAGGCAACAUGAGGAUGACGUCAGAUACAAACAUGGCGUUCUGGACGGGCUCAGUAGUUUGCUUGGCCUCAACUCAAGGAAUGCUGAUGGUAUAGCAAGAAGGUAUUCUGAGCAUUAUAUCAAUGGGGAAGUUCGAGAUCUUUUGCAGAGCAAGAGCAAGCUGCCCUGUUGUGAGUUCUCCGGUGGAGGGCCCCACAUGGCAAGAAAAUGAGAAGCCCCCUGGACAGACAAGAGCUGAGGCCCAGGAUACAAUAUCCUGAAAAAAACUGAAUCCUGCUGACAAUUGCCCAAGUGAAGCUGGAAGUGGAUCUUUCUGCAGUGGAACCUUGAGAUGAUUGCAGCCCUGGCUGACAACUUGAUUGCUGCCUGUGAAGGACUCUGAACCAGACGACUCAGCAAAAUUGUGCCCAGAUUCCUGACCUACGGAGGCAGUGAGAUAAUAAAUGCUGUUGUUUGAGGCCACAAAGUUUUGAGGUAUUUGUUAAUACAGCAAUGGAUACUUAAUACAGCUUCCUACAUGGUCUCCCUCCUUCGACCUUCACACUACAAUCUGUUGUCCACACAGCAGUCAUAGAUCCUUUUAAAACAUGGGGUGGAUCACAAGAACUAAUCUUUCAUGAUUUGGAAACUGGAAGGAAAGAAGCACUUUUGUAGCUGACUCACCUCAGUGGCAUGACCAGUGUCUGAGCCUACAACUGCGCUACCUUCUCUGGAUUUUUCUUCACCUUUUCCUUACUCAUGAGCCAGAGACAAGGAAACUGUGGCUCAGUGAAGAAGAUGCAGAGCUAGGACUUGAGCCCGGAUGGUGGUUUCUCAAACCCAUGCUCCUCCCCACUUGUCACACCAGCACUUCUUCCAUGUGCAUAAUUUCCUGGACCCAGUGGACUGUGGGAAGUGAUGGUGAAACAGAAUCUGAGUGCGCAAUCAGACCAGUGAACAACAGGUCAGGAAGAGAGGGGUCUAACGACAGCGAGUCCUCAGGUCAUUCUGCAGCCUCUACCAACUGACACCAACCAGAAUAAGUGCAUUGAUUUGGAAAGCCAAAGACCAAGCCACACCACAGAGCUGGAGAUCUGUCCAGCACAAGUGCCCAUUCUAAGGCUUCCAGAGCCCACCUAGAACUGAGCUGCCAAUGACCACAAGUGAGAAAGGAUGUGCUCUAUAAGAAAACCUGUUCCAAGUGGAAUCCAGACUCCCAGUCUGCUCAUCACUCCUCUGUCUCGUAUUACAGAUGCUGUCUUGGCUUUAUGAAAUGCUUCCAUCAAACUACCAGAGCAAGCAAGAAACUUUGUCCAAAUGCCUUGAUUUCAUGUAUUUUUCUCCUUUUCAAUGGUAAGAAAGAAACUCCAUAUGUCCUUCUAAAUAUUUGACAGGAAUCUGCUAGAAAAAUUCAAUGCUAAUAUAUUUCAGUUCUCAUGAAACAUAAGGCACUCCAGCAAUGCCGCUAAAACCCGUCAAAAUACAUUCUCCGUGAACAGACUCAUGUCCCUGAAGAGUGACUUGAUGCAAGAGGGUGGCACAGAACUGUGGAAAGAAAUUGGAACAUGAACUUAAUAAAUUAGCAUAUGUAAUGCACUGAAACAUUUACACAUAACAGAGAUUAGAGGAGAACUGACCUCUAGGAAGGUUUGGGUUCUUAAGUCAUCCAGGUCUUGAUGGCCAAGGCCAUCUAUAAAAGAAAUAUUUUCCUUUUUUCAUGGUGACUAAAAAAUAAAUUUUAAAAGUAUAUUAUUUGUAGUUUAGUUCCAAUGAUCUCUAUGUUUCCCUGAGGUCAUUUUCUUGUUCUUCUUUGAUGGUACCUACUAUUGUCUGAUGUUGGCCAUAUCAGAGCCUGGCAAGGGAAAUAAAGCAGGGAAAUGGGGCCAUCACCUUUGACCAAACCUACUCUGGCAGGUGUAAAGCAGGCAGGAGGAGUUCCUUUCUUGGCCUAAGAGGUAAUCAUAGCCAUUGAUCUUUUUUUUUCUUUUUUCUUUUUUAUACUGACUGUUCCUCAGACAAUAGUUCCUAAUAUUGAUUGGAAACAUUUCUAAUGACUGGUGGUAAUCAGGGCAUGUGCUUGGCUCUGAAGAAGUCCAGUGAGACCUGAAAUCACUUUCCACAUUUGCUUGGAAAGAAGGUGGUACAUGGCAGCCGGGGUGAUCUUCAUAAUGUAAGGUCCUGCUUGUCACUUGUCCACUUCAACCUUUCCAGGUGCUUUCUACCUCACCAGAAUAUAAACCGAAGCUUUCUGCAUGGCCCACCUGGCUCUGCUUGCUCUAGCCCCUGCCCUCACCUCUCUUGCCACUUUUCCCUUGGCCACAUUGCUCCAGCCACCUUGGCUCUAUCUGUCCCUUGGACUUGUCAAGGUCAUCUCCACCUUAGGGACUUGCAUGUGUUCCUCUGCCUGGAAAGCCCUUCCUUUAGAUCUUUUUCCUGCUUGCCAUUUGGGUCUCAGUUCAAGACCCUUGGUCAGAGAGUUCAUGACUAUCCAGGACUCUGCCCUCUGCCCUACGUCAUCUUCUUAGCACUUAUCACUAUUGUGCAUCUUCCCCUUCAUGUGUCUACAUGUUUACCACUGUCUCCUCCAACAGAAGGUAAGUUCCACGAGCGCAUGGAGCUUUUUUCUCUUAUCCAUACUGCAUUGCACCUCCUUGAACAGCUCAAUAAUUGUUGAAGAAGUGGGGAAUGAGCAGGGAUUCAAACUCCAGAGCUUGGGCUACCACCUCUCACAAGAGAAGUUCAACAUCUCUCUGUCUUCUUUUAAAUAUUGUCUCUUAUCUAUUGCUGGAGGGUCCAUUCAUACCUUCAUUGGGGUGAAAAUUAAGAACCUGUCUUUUCUUACAUCCCUAUUCCCCCUCCCAAAAGACCAAGCUAACAAUUGUCCAAACACCGUUUAUUAAAAAGCUGUCUUUUUUUGACCUAGUGUGGAAAGUGAGUGGGAAUCGCGAGAUUAAUGGUGAGUUAAAUUUAAUAUAUUUUAGGCUGUUCUUCUGGACUAUUCUGUUACAUCUUGUAUUAGUAGCUCACAAAUUUAAUUACUGUACCUUUAAAACAUAUGAGUAAUAUCUUAAUAAAUGGAUCCUCUUCAUGCCUCUUUUAUUUUUUCUAAACAUUUCUAAACUAUUUUUGACUAUUUAUUCUAUCAGAUGGUUUUGAUUUUUAGACUCUUUUUGAAAAGUUAAAAGAUGUCUGGUUCAGAUUUUGAUUUGCAUUGCAUUAAACCUCUAACCUAAUUUUGGAAGAAUUCAUCUUUACACCAUCUUUCUUCCAGUGAACUGCUAGAUUUCUUGGAGAUCUGCAGUUUUGACUUUUAAAGUUUUAACUUCACAUUUUUUGCUCUUAUUAUGGAUGGAGUUAGUUUCCAUUCUAUGCCCCAUCCCCUCAAUGGUUUGAAAUUCAUAUGUAGAUUUUAGUUCAGGGAAGAUUAAUGGCUAAGCUACAAACUUCUGAAAUGGGAAGUUCCACCGUAAAUUUCAGAACCACUUGAACCAUACUGUGUAAUUAUGCCAAAUGAUGUAGAUUUAUGAAUAGAUCUGGUAGGAAUAUUUUCUUUGAAUAAAAUGGAUUUUUUAUUUUGCA